rnacentral:rRNA from 1 species
GGCUCAGGACGAACGCUGGCGGCGUGCUUAACACAUGCAAGUCGAGCGGAAAGGCCCUUCGGGGUACUCGAGCGGCGAACGGGUGAGUAACACGUGAGUAAUCUGCCCCAGGCUCUGGGAUAGCCACCGGAAACGGUGAUUAAUACCGGAUACGACAACCGAUUGCAUGAUCUGGUUGUGGAAAGUUUUUCGGCCUGGGAUGUGCUCGCGGCCUAUCAGCUUGUUGGUGAGGUAAUGGCUCACCAAGGCUUCGACGGGUAGCCGGCCUGAGAGGGUGACCGGCCACACUGGGACUGAGACACGGCCCAGACUCCUACGGGAGGCAGCAGUGGGGAAUAUUGGACAAUGGGCGGAAGCCUGAUCCAGCAACGCCGCGUGAGGGAUGACGGCCUUCGGGUUGUAAACCUCUUUCAGCACAGACGAAGCGCAAGUGACGG